rnacentral:rRNA from 1 species
AGGGCUUUUCCUUUGGGAGCAGAGUGACAGGUGGUGCAUGGUUGUUGUCAGCUCGUGUCGUGAGAUGUUGGGUUAAGUCCCGCAACGAGCGCAACCCUUGAUUUUAGUUGCCCUCAUUUAGUUGGGCACUUUAAGGUGACUGCCGGUGACAAACCGGAGGAAGGUGGGGAUGACGUCAAAUCAUCCUGCCCCUUAUGACCUGGGCUACCCCCGUGCUACAAUGGACGGUACAAAGAGCUGCAAGGCCGCGAGGGGGAGCUAAUCUCAUAAAACCGUUUUCAGUUCGGAUUGUAGGCUGCAACUUGCCUACCUGAAGCUGGAAUCGCUAGUAAUCGCGGAUCAGCCUGCCGCGGUGAAUACGUUCCCGGGCCUUG